GCCAUAGCCGCAAAAGGAGCAGGUAAUUGUAAAAGGAUUGUUGCAAGGGAAACUAGUGAAUUCCUUUUUUCACAUUGUUUUGUUUGAGUUAUUUCCACUUGACCUCUUAAACAGAUGAUCUCCAUUUCUUGAGCACCAUUCUUUAGCUUGAGCAUUGAUGAUGGGUUGGUUUGGUUCAUUCUUGCCCUUGUUGGGUGUCUGAAUAUCAAAACCCUGUACACAGGUGUUGUGCACUAAGUAAGCGUGUAAACUGUAAAGAAAUA
rnacentral:misc_RNA from 1 species